AGGCUUAACACAUGCAAGUCGAGCGGAAACGAUGGGAGCUUGCUCCCAGGCGUCGAGCGGCGGACGGGUGAGUAACGCGUAGGAAUCUGCCCAGUAGAGGGGGAUAGCCCGAGGAAACUCGGAUUAAUACCGCAUACGCCCCACGGGGGAAAGCAGGGGAUCUUCGGACCUUGCGCUAUUGGAUGAGCCUGCGUGAGAUUAGCUAGUUGGUGGGGUAAUGGCUUACCAAGGCGACGAUCUCUAGCUGGUCUGAGAGGAUGAUCAGCCACACUGGGACUGAGACACGGCCCAGACUCCUACGGGAGGCAGCAGUGGGGAAUAUUGGACAAUGGGGGCAACCCUGAUCCAGCCAUGCCGCGUGUGUGAAGAAGGCCUUAGGGUUGUAAAGCACUUUCAGUAGGGAGGAAGGCCCAGUAGUUAAUACCUGCAGGGAUUGACGUUACCUACAGAAGCAGCACCGGC
rnacentral:rRNA from 1 species